rnacentral:rRNA from 1 species
GGGGGCCCGCAAGCGGUGGAGCAUGUGGUUCAAUUCGACGCAACGCGAAGAACCUUACCUGGGCUCGAAAUGUAGUGGACCGGGGUGGAAACAUCCCUUUUCGCAAGAACCGCUAUAUAGGUGCUGCAUGGCUGUCGUCAGCUCGUGUCGUGAGAUGUUGGGUUAAGUCCCGCAACGAGCGCAACCCUUAUUGUCAGUUGCCAUCAUUCAGUUGGGCACUCUGGCGAAACCGCCUCGGAUAACGGGGAGGAAGGUGGGGAUGACGUCAGGUCCUCAUGGCCUUUAUGUCCAGGGCUACACACGUGCUACAAUGGUCGGUACAAACCGUCGCAAACCCGCGAGGGGGAGCUAAUCGGAAAAAGCCGACCUCAGUUCGGAUUGGAGUCUGCAACUCGACUCCAUGAAGCUGGAAUCGCUAGUAAUCGCGGAUCAGAACGCCGCGGUGAAUACGUUCCCGGGCCUUGUACACACC